UCGAACUUCUUCUUCCUGGGUGCUCCAUUUGAUACCUUUUGGCUACAUUCAGAGAUGCUUUGACCCCUGUGUUCUUUGAGCUCCAAAUGACAUAGUCUGGAGUGGGGCCAAUAUACAUUUGUUUACAUAUCCCCAGGAAAAGUGAAAAGGACUGCAGAGCUUGGAAAAUGCACCCUCACUUCAGCCAGACCUUCAGUUCUCAGUUUUUCUUUAAGAACGGUCUACAAAACCAAGCGGAGUCCUGAGUCUAUGAACACGCGACCGAGUGACAGCAGUAGAUUGAGCAAUUGUCAUAGCUGGAGUUAGAUAAGAAAUAUUCAUCUGUGAAAUGAGAGAAAAAGCACCAAUGAAACUUGUGGUGGUGUUCCUGUGGCUUCUUGCAGCUUCCGCUGACUUGAGCCAAUUCGCAGAGCCUCUCAGUUUCUUCUGGAUUGAACUGCCAUUGCUGAAUCAUGGAUGGUGUUUGUAAGUGGAUUGAGCUACUGCUACUGAUUCAUAGGAACUAAAUCGCCGAUAUCCUGACCAUGAAGAUUGGAAUCACCUCCCAAAAUCUAUU